UACGUAGGGGGCAAGCGUUGUCCGGAAUUAUUGGGCGUAAAGAGUACGUAGGCGGUCUGUUAAGCGCAAGGUGAAAGGCAUAGGCUCAACCAAUGUGAGCCUUGCGAACUGGCAGACUUGAGUGCAGGAGAGGAAAGCGGAAUUCCUAGUGUAGCGGUGAAAUGCGUAGAGAUUAGGAAGAACACCAGUGGCGAAGGCGAUUCUCUGGACUGUAACUGACGUUGAGGCUCGAAAGCGUGGGGAGCAAACAGG
rnacentral:rRNA from 1 species